rnacentral:piRNA from 1 species
UACUGUGAUGAUAACAUAGUUCAGCAGACU